CGUACGUGUCACCCUGAAAAACACUUGCAUUAUUUGUUGAGUAGAAUAAACAUAGGCAAGUGUGGAUGUGAAUAUUCAUAUUUUCCAUCAUCGGAGCACACACCAUCAUCGGAAAGCUUUUCACCGGUGCAGCCACCAACACAACAAGUGAUUACAAUGGCAGCGGCGGCUACCUCAAUCAUGUUACCUCAAUUUCCCACCACUAGUGUCACCGUCCGUUCUACCGCCUUACCUAACCUUCCAAUUCGGCCGUUUCGAACCUCCUUCAACCGGGUUUCAGGGUCAAGGAGGUCAGCUCUGUUCCGUGUCAAAGCAUCAGAAGAUGCAUCAUCCUCCAUCGAUACAGAUGAGUUGUUCAACGAUCUAAAAGAAAAGUGGGAUGCAGUUGAAAACAAGCCAACGGUUAUAAUCUAUGGAGCAGGAGCAGCUGUUGCAAUCUGGCUAUCUUCGGUUGUUAUUGGUGCCAUUAACAAAGUUCCAUUGCUUCCCAAUUUAAUGGAGUUGGUAGGAGUUGGAUAUUCUGGAUGGUUUGUCUACAGAUAUCUUCUCUUUGAGUCAAGCAGGAAGGAGUUGACCACAAACAUAGAGUCAAUCAAGAAGAAGAUCACAGAGGCGUAAACAAACAGACAAAUUGUUCAAAAUGGAAUUUUUCUUUUGGUUUUUUUAGUUGUGUAAUUUGAUAUAAAAAGCAUGUAUAGAGAAGCCUUGUAUGUAAUAUGUGUAUGUAUCCCAACACAAAAUUUGUGUUUAUU